GUAGCUCGGCUGACACACACACAAACAGAACAGGCAAAGGCAAACGUGGAGCCCGACUGCCAAUCACUGGACUUAUGUCAGCAUCCGAACCAAAACACACACAAGAAGGCAAACGUGGAGCCUGAAUGCCAAUCACUGGGCUUACAUCAGCAUCCGAACCUAAACACACGCAACAGGUUGAUAGGGAGUCGGGGACUCAGCCUAUAACUGUCAACACACACACAAACAGACGGACAGCAAAUGCUAAGGAGUCACCAGACUCGAGCCUAGCAAAGGU
rnacentral:lncRNA from 1 species